rnacentral:rRNA from 1 species
AAAAACUGUUUCUGUAGUAUAUUUUGAAAUUUACUUUUAAGUGAGAAGGCUUAAAUAUUUCAAAGGGACGAUAAGACCCUAUAAAGCUUUAUAUGUUGAUUAUAUUUGAUUGAUUUGUAUGAAAUAAUUAUUAAAUUUAAUCGUCUUAUUUUGUUGGGGUGACAUGAGUAUAAUUAUAAUUAACUGCUUAAUAAUAAUACAAUUAUUGUUGAAUAAAUAUUAUAUGAUCCUUUUUAGAGAUUAAAAGACUAAGUUACUUUAGGGAUAACAGUGUUAUUUUUUUUGAGAGCUCAUAUCGAAAAGAAAGAUUGCAACCUCGAUGUUGAAUUAAAAUAUCUAUAUAAUGCAGGAGUUAUAUUAGAAG